AAAAGGAGAAAAAUUAAGGCAUGCUCUAGCAAAUGUUAAAUCGGCUACAAGCCCAACCCUCCAACACUUCCAAGCCUUAGGUGUCCUGUCCUUAGUGCCCAGUCUAGUAACCCUUCAGUUUCCAGUUUCCAGUCUAGGAAGUUCUUGUUUGUUCUUAAUUUGUUUUUGCUCAUGGUUGGAUGUUUAGCUUUUCUUUUUGUGGACCGCACUAUAGAAACACCUCUCUAGUCAAAUGAAUGCAGCUUGUCUUGUUCUUGUUGAAUUAAUUCUAAAUAGUUAUUUUUAAGCUGGUUUGUGAUUAACUUGACCAUGUGUUCACUUGCAGUUGCCCCAUUGGUCAUGAUUAUUAAUUAACUUCGAGGAUUCACUGUAUUAAUACAACUUUUCAAUGAUACCAAAAGGGGAAAGAUAUUGUGCUUAAAAUUCUAGUAAUGUUUAUGACCUAAAUCUGACCUCCUUGAAGGUAAAUUUUCUAAGUGAUAAAUUUGCUAAGUGUUUACUUUCAGCUGAGUUCACAGGUUUUCUGAUCACAAUAAGCGUAGCGUUUGUCAUCAUCAAAAAGGGGAAAAUUGUUGGCCCAAGGUUCAGUUGGAGUUUUGAAGAUUUGACAAAUGAACCUAUGGAAGGACCUGGUCCAUCUUGUACUACGCAGUCUGAAUUAACAAGGGCACAUGUGAAGCACGUGAGA
rnacentral:lncRNA from 1 species